rnacentral:rRNA from 1 species
AUGAGUUGCCUAAUCUGGAACGGUCGAGGGCUUGGGAACCAGGAGACCGUUCUUGAGCUUCACAAUGUUGUGAGGCUGGAAGUGCCCACUUUGGUUUUCGUUAGUGAAACCAAGAUAGAUGCUGACCGUGCGAGGAGCCUUAAAACCAGGUUGGGUUUUGAAGGAUGCAUUCCUGUUGGGAGUGAUGGACUGAGUGGAGGCUUAGUUCUGUUUUGGUCCAAGGAGGUGGAAGUCACAUUGGCCACAGUCUCGGACCAGCAUAUUGACGUCAAGGUCAAAAAUAUCGAGGGAGAUCAGAAGGAGUGGUGA